AUAUCUACAGCUCUCGGACGACCGACCCCUCUCGGACGUCCGACCCCUUGCGGAUGCCCGGACUUCCGUAAACUGUCGGACGUCCGAACCGUGUGUGACUUAAAGUGUCCCCAACGGCUGCUUUUACACUCCCCACUAUAUAUACCCCCUCCCACUUCGUGAGAGGGUGUCCAACACAGCUAGAACACAUCCAAGAACACCUUUCUACUCACUCACUCUUGUCUACACCAAAUCUUAGAUCCCAAGAGCAUUUGUGAGUCCCUUUGAGUGUUAUUCCAAUCAAAAGAUAGAUCGUCUCCUUCUCCUCCUUCCCACUAAAGUGAUUUGUGAUUUGAGCAAGUUUUGAGCAAUCCCCGUGAUCUUGUUACUCUUAGAGGUUGGAGACUCCUAGGCGGUAGGAGUCUUCGGAGAGGAAUCAAACCAUUGUGAUUUCCCCCGAAAAGUUUGUGAAGGUUUGGAAGCCACCUCAAGGCUUACCACUAGUGGUUGAGAAACGCCUUCAUGGAGUUUAUCUCAAAGGGAGAAUAGGGUGAGCCUUCGUGGCGUUGGUGUGCCUUCGUGGUAACAUCCGCCCCUCUAACGGUGGCGUGGCUUCCCUCCAAGGAAGUGAACAUCGGGAUACAUCCUUGUCUCUCUUGGAGUUUCGGUUAUUCCUAAUCCUAACUCUCUACUUGUGUUAAUCCUUAUUACGUACUUGUAUUUGAUUAUUGUUUACCGCUUGCCUUACUCCACUCUAAAUAGCUUACUCCUUGUCAUAGCAAUUAUUAGGCCUACACUCAUAUUCCGCACUUUUGCCUAAAAUUGCUAAGUAAUUAUUAAAAUUUGGAACUGUACCUAUUCACCCCCCCUCUAGGUCCAUCUCGAUCAUUUUUAAUUGGUAUCAGAGCCCCGUGCUCUAUUCUUGUGGCUUAACCGCCCUAGAGCGAGAUGGACGGGAUUCCAACUACGGUAGCUCCAGUGG
rnacentral:lncRNA from 1 species